rnacentral:rRNA from 1 species
UAGUCCACGCCGUAAACGAUGAUAACUAGCUGUUCGGGUUCACAGAACUUGAGUGGUGCAGCUAACGCAUUAAGUUAGCCACCUGGGGAGUACGAUCGCAAGGUUGAAACUCAAAGGAAUUGACGGGGGCCCGCACAAGCGGUGGAGCAUGUGGAUUAAUUCGAUGAUACGCGAGGAACCUUACCAGGGCUUAAAUGAUAAUUGACCGUCGCCGAAAGGUGUCUUUCUUUUAGACAAGUAUCAAGGUGCUGCAUGGCCGUCGUCAGCUCGUGCCGUGAGGUGUUGGGUUAAGUCCCGCAACGAGCGCAACCCCUAUCUCUAGUUGCCAGCACAUAAUGGUGGGGACUCUAGAGACACUGCCUACGUAAGUAGUGAGGAAGGUGGGGACGACGUCAGGUCAUCAUGGCCCUUACGUCCUGGGCUUCACACGUGCUACAAUGGAUGGUACAAAGAGCAGCCACUCAGCGAUGAGGAGCGAAUCUCAAAAAACCAUUCUCAGUUC